ACCAGACUCCUACGGGAGGCAGCAGUGGGGGAUAUUGCACAAUGGGGGGAACCCUGAUGCAGCGACGCCGCGUGGGUGAAGAAGCGCCUCGGCGCGUAAAGCCCUGUCAGCAGGGAAGAAAAUGACGGUACCUGAAGAAGAAGCCCCGGCUAACUACGUGCCAGCAGCCGCGGUAAUACGUAGGGGGCAAGCGUUAUCCGGAUUUACUGGGUGUAAAGGGAGCGUAGACGGCGAUACAAGUCUGAAGUGAAAGCCCGGGGCUCAACCCCGGGACUGCUUUGGAAACUGUGUUGCUGGAGUGCUGGAGAGGCAAGCGGAAUUCCUAGUGUAGCGGUGAAAUGCGUAGAUAUUAGGAGGAACACCGGUGGCGAAGGCGGCCUGCUGGACUGCGACUGACGUUGAGGCCCGAAAGCGUGGGGAGCAAACAGGAUUAGAUACCCUUGUA
rnacentral:rRNA from 1 species